UACGUAGGGAGCGAGCGUUGUCCGGAAUUACUGGGCGUAAAGGGCGCGUAGGCGGCGCUUCAAGUCGUCUGUCAAAUGGGAGGGCUUAACCCUUUUUCGCAGACGAAACUGGAGAGCUUGAGAAGCAGAGAGGCAAACAGAAUUCCUGGUGUAGCGGUGAAAUGCGUAGAUAUCAGGAAGAAUACCAGUGGCGAAGGCGGUUUGCUGGCUGCAUACUGACGCUGAAGCGCGAAAGCCAGGGGAGCAAACGGGAUUAGAUACCCCGGUAGUCCUGGCAGUAAACGAUGUAUGCUGGGUGUGAGACUAGCGAUAGUUUCGUGCCGAAGUUAACGCGAUAAGCAUACCGCCUGGGGAGUACGGUCGCAAGAUUGAAACUUAAAUGAAUUGGCGGGG
rnacentral:rRNA from 1 species